GCGGACGCAUUUCCCGCCGCCCUGGGACGCCGCAGCCCGUGGAGGUCGGAUCGUGCGUCUCUGCCUGCGUUCCGACGUCCUAAUCGGACUCGUGGGGCGCGGAGAGAGGCGGCUCGCGGCGAGUAGGUCGGUCACCCACCCGGCCCGUCUUAAAACACGGACCAAGGAGUGCGACGCGCGCGCGAGUCGUUGGGUCUUGGACAGGCCCGCGGGCGAAAGGAACCUGAGGCCGGGAUUCCCCGGACGCACCGGCGGCCCGGUCGGCGUCUGAGCGCGCGCGUUGCUACCCGAAAGGUGGUGAACUAUGCUUGGGCAGGUCGAAGCACUGGUGGAGGACCGUAGCGGUUCUGACGUGCAAAUCGAUCGUCAGACUCGAGUAUAGGGGCGAUAGACCAAUCAAACCACCUAGUAGCUGGUUCCCUCCGAAGUUUCCCUCAGAUAACUGGCGUCGGAGAAUUCAUUUCUGGUAAAGCGAA
rnacentral:rRNA from 1 species